AGGGGGGACGGAGAAGGCUAUGUUGGCCGGGCGACGGUUGUCCCGGUUUAAGCGUGUAGGCUGGUUUUCCAGGCAAAUCCGGAAAAUCAAGGCUGAGGCGUGAUGACGAGGCACUACGGUGCUGAAGCGACAAAUGCCCUGCUUCCAGGAAAAGCCUCUAAGCAUCAGGUAACAACAAAUCGUACCCCAAACCGACACAGGUGGUCAGGUAGAGAAUACCAAGGCGCUUGAGAGAACUCGGGUGAAGGAACUAGGCAAAAUGGUGCCGUAACUUCGGGAGAAGGCACGCUGAUAUGUAGGUGAAGCGACUUGCUCGUGGAGCUGAAAUCAGUCGAAGAUACCAGCUGGC
rnacentral:rRNA from 1 species